AAUUUGUUAAUGGAUACCACAAAUCCUUGUUUUUUUGCUUUUGUAUUUUUGUGAAUCAUUAUUAGUUCUUUAACUGUUAACUGAUCUAUCCUAUUUUCCACUGAUAGGUGUUUUCAAAUAUUAAAAUUCACGAACAAUAAAUGUAAUGGUUAUAUUUAGAGUGGUAUAAGUAACAAUAAAUACAUUGUUACUUAUAAACCAUAUAAACAAAACGCUCUCUCUUCUCUCUAGAAACAAGCUCGCCGCCGUCUAAGGUUUCUGGUUCCGGUGGCUUUCUCAGCAUCAGAGCUGGAUGUCUCUUUCUAAUUAAUUGGUUCAACUACUUGUCUCUGUUCUCACCGUCAAGUUCAGCUUUAGAUCUGACCGUCUUCAAGGCAGAGGCAGUCUCUAACCGUUUCUCCACCGCCUCAGAUGAAGAAAAUUCACCACCGUAGAUCUAGAUCUCCUUCCUGAUUCCAAAAGUCGCUCAUCUUGAAGAGCCUCUAGGCUUUAUUUGUUGUAUCACCGUCUCUGGUUGUUCAGCUAUGGAGCAACAUAACGAGGUCGCACGGCACACUCAUUCGAUUCUAACUCUAUGUAAAGGAGAAUCUUGUUUUGUAUUCCGUUUAAAUGUUCUUUCUUGUCUCAGAUCUAUUUUUAAUUUUCAAAGAUUAAGAUUUAUUUUUCUAUUUUUGAAUCUCUAGAGUCUGUUCCGGAAAGUUUUUGAAUGAAUGUUGUGUUUCUUU